CAUCCCAUCUCUCUCUCUUUCUGUGGUCGUGCAACUAUCUUCCUUGUGGCUAUGCAACCAUCACCCGUCUGGUGAAAAUCCAUUAGUGAAACAGAGGGUUUCUUCCCCAAAUCAUAGAGGGUUUCUCCCCGAAAUCCAGAUCUAUGGCUCAAUGACAGAUCGUUGCGUGUCUUGUACCAUGGAGGUGAGAUUUCUUUCUUGAUUCUUAUGAAGGGAAUAAAAAAGGGCAGGUUUCAACCUUAGCAGGUGUAAAAAAAGCACGGCCACGGUCAUCUGAAUUUGAUCCCGGUGUGAAGGACAUUAAAGAGUAGGUGAGAAGAAAUGGGUUCUAUAAAACCCAUUGAAUGGAGUCAUCGACCAUGGUCGCAUCUACUCACAGUGGUGAAAGAAUGACAAGGCUUUCAAUAGGGGACACCAUCUAGAGGCUACUUGCGCUGGUACUGAAGACCGGCAGUGGUCGACUACUUUCUUUCCUUUUUUUGAGGUUUUAUGCCAACAUUAAUGGCAGCCCAUGCCGCUGCCGCAAGGACGACCAAUAUCGAAUAAGAAGAGAGGAGAGGCUUCGGGUUGUAGCUAAACGAAAAUGGCAUAAAAAAGCACGACCACAGUCAUCUGAAUCUAAUCCUAGUGUGAUAGAUGACCAUUACUAUAUGGUCGAGGAAGAAAACCCAUUACAACUAUAGCAGAUGGACGGAGAGUUGUCAACCCAAAAGGAUUGCAGUACUACAACAAUCUCAUUGAUGAACUUGUCCUCCAUGUGGCGGUAAUGAUGAUGAUUUCAACAUUAAACGCAUUUAGGCACAAGCACAUGGAAUGAGACACAGGUCAUAUUUCUUUUCUUUUUAAUUGUAUGUCACCCCUCCACUACCCUUGUGGUUCUUUAUCACGUCUCCCACAUGCAUCUGAUUGCUUCAAAUAGAAAGUAAUGUCUACUUAAUGUUUUUAGGACUAAAUGUUGUCUUGGCUACCCAUGCCUUUUUCUUUUAUUGCAUUUCCAAGCAAUUCAGUCCACUACAUUGCUUUUGGAUGACUGAGUCUUUUAAUAAAUAUAAUGAGGCUUUGGCUUGCUGUUAAGAGUUCUCUAAUUAAGAAUUAAGAGUCCUCUGGACAGUGCAUAGUAAUCAUAUUACAAUACCGCAAUAGUGAAGCAGUUUCUGCAUAAUGGAGUCCACCAGUUGUUUCAUGUGGUCCUAUGGCUGCGCUACAAAAAAUGCAUUUUGGGAGGACUGGGAAUGAGAAUUAGUUUGAGUUAAGAAACACUUUGUAAGAUGGCUCAUCUCGAGUGCAUCCUGUUUUUAGUUGUGUUUGGACUAAGCAUUGAGGCCCAUGAUUGGGCGCUAUGGUUUAUCUAUGAUUAGGUCCACAUAAUAGUCUGGGUCAACAUGUGCAAUAUGUACUGCACUUUAUAUUGCUGCCUUGCUUGUUGUAUAAUAGGUAAUUUGCAAUAUGGAUGCAUACUUUUAAAGUACUGCGUUAUAUAAUACCCACGUAUUAUAAUGCAUGCUGUAAAAUUUUCUUGUUACUAAGAAAUUGUCUCUGUUGCAGAUAUGUCGUCGACUGCUUUUAUCGAGCCACUUCUAGUCAUUGAUUUUGUAACUCAACUCUUGAACAAAGAUGUCUUAGCCAGACCAUUGUCUGAUGCUGAUCGAGUGAAGGUCUUGUUUUCUUUUGUUUCUUCUAUUUGGAUAUUGACGGUUUUCUUUUUUCUUUUUAGAUAAUUAUUUUGGCA